UUUAGCAUGGAAUAAUGGAAUAGGACUUUGGUUCUAUUUUGUUGGUUUUAAGGACCAAUGUCAUGAUUAAUAGGGACAGUCGGGGGCAUCAGUAUUCAGUAGUCAGAGGUGAAAUUCUUGGAUCUACUGAAGACUAACUACUACGAAAGCAUUUGCCAAGGAUGUUUUCAUUAAUCAGGAACGAAAGUUAGGGGAUCGAAGACGAUCAGAUACCGUCGUAGUCCUAACCAUAAACUAUGCCGACUAGGGAUCGGACAGUGCUAUUUUUUGGCCUGUUCGGAACCUUGCGCGAAAGCAGAAGUUUCUGGGUUCUGGGGGGAGUAUGGUCGCAAGGCUGAAACUUAAAGAAAUUGACGGAAGGGCACCACCAGGGGUGGAGCCUGCGGCUUAAUUUGACUCAACACGGGGAAACUCACCAGGUCCAGACAUGACAAGGAUUGACAGAUUGAGAGCUCUUUCUUGAUUUCAUGGGUGGUGGUGCAUGGCCGUUCUUAGUUGGUGGAGUGAUUUGUCUGCUUAAUUGCGAUAACGAACGAGACCUUAACCGGUUAACUAGCCCGGCCCGCUCCGGCGGGGCGCCGGCUUCUUAGAGGGACUAUCGGCUCAAGCCGAUGGAAGUUUGAGGCAAUAACAGGUCUGUGAUGCCCUUAGAUGUUUUGGGCCGCACGCGCGCUACACUGACGCACCCAGCGAGUAUCUCCUUGGCCGGCGGGCACGGGUAAUCUUAUGAAAGUGCGUCGUGCUGGGGAUAGAGCAU
rnacentral:rRNA from 1 species